rnacentral:rRNA from 1 species
GACGAACGCUGGCGGCGUGCUUAACACAUGCAAGUCGAACGAAGUGGCGAACGGGUGAGUAACGCGUAAUCAACCUGCCCUUCAGCGGGGCACAACAGUUGGACACGACUGCUAAUACCCCAUACUGAAGGAGGGCCUUCGGUCGGAUUAGCUAGUUGGAGGGGUAACGGCCCACCAAGGCGAUGUUCAGGAGCCGGGCUGAGAGGAUGAACGGCCACAUUGGGACGGAGACACGGCCCAGACUCCUACGGGAGGCAGCAGUGGGGAAUCUUCCGGAAUGGACGAAAGUCUGACGGAGCAACGCCGCGGGAGUGAUGACGGCCUUCGGGUUGUAAAGCUCUGUUAAUCGGGACGCGGUACCGGAAUAGAAAGCCACGGCUAACUACGUGCCAGCAGCCGCGGUAAUUC